AGUGAGCGCUGGCGGUAGGCCUAACACAUGCAAGUCGAGCGGCAGCACAGUAAGAGCUUGCUCUUACGGGUGGCGAGUGGCGGACGGGUGAGGAAUACAUCGGAAUCUACUUUUUCGUGGGGGAUAACGUAGGGAAACUUACGCUAAUACCGCAUACGACCUACGGGUGAAAGCAGGGGAUCUUCGGACCUUGCGCGAUUGAAUGAGCCGAUGUCGGAUUAGCUAGUUGGCGGGGUAAAGGCCCACCAAGGCGACGAUCCGUAGCUGGUCUGAGAGGAUGAUCAGCCACACUGGAACUGAGACACGGUCCAGACUCCUACGGGAGGCAGCAGUGGGGAAUAUUGGACAAUGGGCGCAAGCCUGAUCCAGCCAUACCGCGUGGGUGAAGAAGGCCUGCGGGCUGUAAAGCCCUUUUGUUGGGAAAGAAAAGCAGCAGGUUAAUACCCCGCUGUUCGGACGGUACCCAAAGAAUAAGCACCGGCUAACUUCGU
rnacentral:rRNA from 1 species